CCUACGGGAGGCAGCAGUGGGGGAUAUUGCACAAUGGGGGAAACCCUGAUGCAGCGACGCCGCGUGAGUGCAGAAGUAUUUCGGUAUGUAAAGCUCUAUCAGCAGGGAAGAAAAGGCCCGUACCUGACCAAGAAGCCCCUGCUAACUACGUGCCAGCAGCCGCGGUAAUACGCAGGGGGCAAGCGCUAGCCGGAUGUACUGGGUGUAAAGGGAGCGUAGACGGUUGGUUAAGUCUGGGGUGAAAGCCCGGGGCCCAACCCCGGGACUGCUUUGGAAACUGGGUAACUGGAGUGCAGGAGGGGCAGGGGGAAUUCCAGGUGUAGCGGUGAAAUGCGUAGAUAUCAGGAGGAACACCGGCGGCGAAGGCGACCUGCUGGACUGUAACUGACGUUGAGGCUCGAAAGCGUGGGGAGCAAACAGGAUUAGAUACCCGAGUAGUC
rnacentral:rRNA from 1 species